rnacentral:rRNA from 1 species
UACGAAGGGGGCUAGCGUUGCUCGGAAUCACUGGGCGUAAAGCGCACGUAGGCGGAUUGCUAAGUCAGGGGUGAAAUCCUGGAGCUCAACUCCAGAACUGCCUUUGAUACUGGCGACCUUGAGUCCGGGAGAGGUGAGUGGAACUGCGAGUGUAGAGGUGAAAUUCGUAGAUAUUCGCAAGAACACCAGUGGCGAAGGCGGCUCACUGGCCCGAUACUGACGCUGAGGCACGAAAGCCAGGGGAGCAAACGGG